rnacentral:rRNA from 1 species
UACAGAGGUCUCAAGCGUUGUUCGGAUUCAUUGGGCGUAAAGGGUGCGUAGGCGGCUUGUCAAGUAGGGUGUGAAAGCCCCCGGCUUAACCGGGGAAUUGCGCCCUAAACUGACGAGCUGGAGUGGGACAGGGGUGUGUGGAACUUCCGGUGGAGCGGUGAAAUGUGUUGAUAUCGGAAGGAACGCCGGUGGCGAAAGCGACACACUGGGUCUCAACUGACGCUGAGGCACGAAAGCUAGGGGAGCAAACGGG